CCGGCCCGGGGCAGCGGCUGCGGCCGCGGGGGGCCUCCCGUCGGGGCUGCAGAUAAAGAAUCCGAGGCGCAGAGAGGUGGCACUGCUGGAAGGAACAGAGCCAGAUCCACAAGAUCCUUCAUUCCGACAAUAAAUAUUCACUGAAGAUCUGCCACAUGUCAGGCCCCAGCCCAGGUGCUGGGGAUUUAGCAGAAAACCAGCCAGACCCAUUUCCUGCAUCCAUGGAGUGCACAGGCUGGUGGGGGAGAUGGGCUAGAAAUCCAUGAACCAAAUUAUACUGAGACGAGCGAGCACCGAGCGCCUAGCGUGGACUGCGACCGCUCGGGCUCCUGUAUCUGUGACAGAUGUGCUUGGGCUCCUCGUAGGACCGAGGGACUUUGUUAUCCACACCACUGGCCUUGAAGUUGGCUGCUACCUGAUGAGAUGAAUUAAGAACAUACCAGCACUUUGGGAGGCUGAAGUGGGUGGAUCACGAGAUCAGGAAAUUGAGGUCCAGUGAGGUGUCUUGGCCAGGACACUCAGUCAGGACGUGACAUGAACACAGGACUGUCUGACUUCAAAUCCAGUGCUCCUUCCCCUGCAGUCCCCACCCCACUGACUGGGGGACAGUGCUCCAGGCAGCUGGAAUGGGACACGGUUUGUGUGGCAGCGAGAUAUCCAGGCUCUCCUCCUUCCAGAUCUAAGGUAGGAAUGCACUUCCCACCCCCUUGAAGUUAGAGGUGGCUGUGUGACUGGCUUCGGCCAGCAAAAUGUGACAGCAAGCAACAACUAGCAGGAUGGGGGUGACUUGGGACCUGGGUGGGGACAACACAGAGCAGAUGGGGCUUUGGGGUCUCUCCCACUGCUCUCCCAUCCAUAGGCAUGCGGUGUGAACAGGAGCAAUCCCUUCACAGUGUGGAGCCACCGGCUUUGGAGUUGUUUGUGGCUGCAGUGUGUAACCCAGCAUCUCCUGACUGAUGUUAUAGGUUCUGCCGGAGGGGCAAAUGCGGGCAGCAAGGGCUUGCAGCCCUGGAAUUAACAAAUGAGAUUCAAACCCAGGUCUGCUUGACUAGGAAGGCCGGCCCUCUCCAUGGUGCCAGGACAACUCUUUGGAGAAGAUGCCCCUCUCUCUGCCUGCCUGAAUCUUCUCCGUCCACAAAGGCCUGCUCCAUCCUCCCUCCUCCAGGAAGCUUUCCCUGACUGUCCCCGGGCCCAGCCAGGGUGUCUGGGGGGCUGGAGAGACCCACAGAGCCCUGAUCACCGUGGCUGGCCCGUAAGUGUGGCGACUGAGUCCCAGUCUGGAGGCACAGCUGGACUUUCCCAGAGAGAACUGAGGCAUUGUGGGAAUUUCCCAGCUGUGACCCCAGGACCCUGAUUGCCCAGAAUGGCUCCAAGUUCACAUAUCUAGGGACCGUCACCAAGACUCCUGUAUCUAUAUUAAACUCGGUAAAUGUGA
rnacentral:lncRNA from 1 species